rnacentral:rRNA from 1 species
CCUACGGGUUGCAGCAGUGGGGAAUAUUGCACAAUGGGCGCAAGCCUGAUGAAGCCAUGCCGCGUGUGUGAAGAAGGCCUUCGGGUUGUAAAGCACUUUCAGUGGGGAGGAAGGCACUAAGGUUAAUAACCUUAGCGAUUGACGUUACCCGCAGAAGAAGCACCGGCUAACUCCGUGCCAGCAGCCGCGGUAAUACGGAGGGUGCAAGCGUUAAUCGGAAUUACUGGGCGUAAAGCGCACGCAGGCGGUCUGUCAAGUCGGAUGUGAAAUCCCCGGGCUCAACCUGGGAACUGCAUUCGAAACUGGCAGGCUAGAGUCUUGUAGAGGGGGGUAGAAUUCCAGGUGUAGCGGUGAAAUGCGUAGAGAUCUGGAGGAAUACCGGUGGCGAAGGCGGCCCCCUGGACAAAGACUGACGCUCAGACGCGAAAGCGUGGGGAGCAAACAGGAUUAGAUACCCGCGUAGUC